UAGAUAUUAAACGUUACCGAGCGUGAUAGGCUACAAUAGUGGUGUGAUUGACAAACGCCCUGAUUACUUAAGGAAUAGGCAAAACCAAAACUAGUCAAUUCAAACCUAAAGCUCAGCUUGUUCGAAUAAGAACAAUUACAGGAGCCUGCGGUUAAUGGAGUGAGUGAAAUUUGACCUGCUCCUAAUUUUCCGAACAAAACUGGAUGUUCAAUUCUGGACUUAAGCAGCAAUUCUAUUCUACUCUUGCGAAAUAUUCACAGCAUCAUCUCAGCUUUGUUCCACUCUGCAAACGAAUCCAUCA